CUGGCUCAGGAUGAACGCUAGCGGCAGGCUUAACACAUGCAAGUCGAGGGGCAUCGGGAGUAGCAAUACUUGCCGGCGACCGGCGCAAGGGUGCGUAACGCGUGAGCAACAUGCCCGUAUCAGGGGGAUAAUCCAUGGAAACGUGGUCUAAUACCCCAUAGUAAUUAUGUAAGGCAUCUUAUAUAAUUUAAAGCUUUGGUGGAUACGGAUUGGCUCGCGUGACAUUAGCUGGAUGGUAAGGUAACGGCUUACCAUGGCUACGAUGUCUAGGGGUUCUGAGAGGAAGGUCCCCCACACUGGAACUGAGACACGGUCCAGACUCCUACGGGAGGCAGCAGUGAGGAAUAUUGGACAAUGGAUGGAAAUCUGAUCCAGCCAUGCCGCGUGCCAGGAAGACGGCCCUAUGGGUUGUAAACUGCUUUUGUAUGGGAGCAAUAAGGGCUACGUGUAGUCCGAUGAGAGUACCAUACGAAUAAGCACCGGCUAACUCCGUGCCAGCCGCCGC
rnacentral:rRNA from 1 species